CCGGGUAUGGUUACAUAGCAACCACCUAGCAGACCGGGUAUGGUUACAUAGCAACCACCUAGCAGACCGGGUAUGGUAACAUAGCAACUGUAACGGAUGUGAAACGGCUAGCUUAGUUAGCGGAGUGCGGCUUCUGUGGAGCGAUGGGUAACGAUGCUUCGUGGGUGACUGUUGUUGAUGUGUGCAGAGGGUCCCUGGGUCACGCCCGGGUAUGGUAACAUAGCAACCACCUAGCAGACCGGGUAUGGGGCGUUAUUACAUUUUAUUGAUUUAAAUUUGAUUGAUAUCAUUAAACAAUUUGUGUCAUAUACUAAUAAUUAAAAAUAUAUAAUAAUAUUUCCAUUUUUUAGCGGCAAAACCGAGGGUGGGAAAAAUGGGCCAGCCAAGAAAAUAAAAUACAGGAGAGGUUCGGAAGAGAAGGAGGGUCAUUCCAGAUUUUGUCUAGAAGGGACAAAUCUUUUGUCAAAAAUGUAUUUUUUGUAGCAGGUUAGGAGAAUUAACAUAGCAGGUUAAGAGGAAUAGGUUAAGGUUAGGAAAAGGGUUAGCUAAAAUGCAGCAACAAAAAUACUUUUGAUGUCAAUUUAAUUCCAUGGUGAAAUGUGAUUUUGCAUACUAGUAACAUGAUUGAUAGUGAAAUGUCGGAAUUGAUUUUCGUUUAACGAACCUGUUCGUUCUCACACUUGGUGUAAAUCUUUGCAUUCACCAUCACAUGUACUUGAAAUUAUAUUGUGAAAUACAUUUUCAUUAUAAUGCUAUUGAAAUUGUACAAUUCUUCCAAUGUCUCAUACCAUAUACCUUUUUAUGAAAUUGUGCACAUGAAUAGAUAUUAAGUUAACUUUGAAUGACCGUAAAUGGAACCUUUACAGCCUCAAGUCUUCAUUGGAGAACUGUGACCUGUGCUGAGGUACCUGUGCUGAGGUACAUCUGCAAGAUGGUGGCUGGCAGACUUUAAAAAAUACAUUCAUGUCAUAUCAAUGGCACUAAGCUGUUUUUGUUUUUUUCCUUUUUGUUUGCUGUCACAAUUUACCGAACUAUAAUAAUUAAUAAGUGAUUAAUAAGGAGCAUCCAGACGUUGCACAAACAAUUUAUUUGUAACUAUAAUGAAAAAAUAUAAAUGCAACAUGUAAAGUUUUUGGUCCCAUUUUUCAUGAGCUGAAAGAAAAGAUCCCAGGAAUAUUCCAUUCGCACAAAAAUAUAAUUUCUCUCAUUAAAUGCACAAAUUUGUUAACAUCCCUGUUAGCGAGGGUUUCUCCUUUGCCAAGAUAAUCCAUCCACCUGACCAGUCUGGCAUAUCAAGAAUCUGAUUAAACAGCAUGAUUAUUACACAGGUGCACCUUGUGCUGAGGAGUAUUCCUGUUUGUAAUAAAGCCCUUUUUUGGAGAAAAACUGAUUGGCUGUGACCUGGCUCCCAAGUGGGUGGGCCUAUGCCCUCCAAGCCCACCGAUUGGCUGCGACCCUGCCCAGUCAUGUGAAAUCCAUAGAUUAGGGCCUAAUUAAUUUAUUUCAAUUGACUGAUUUCCUUAUAUGAACUGUAACUCAGUAAAACCUUUGAAAUUGUUGCAUGUUGCGUUUAUUUUUUGGGGGGGUUUCAGUAUAGCGCUUAAGUAGUUUUUUGAUCAAUUUACUUUUUUAUUCUCACUUGACUAGUUUCUUAAGAAGGCAAAUUUUACUUGAGUAAAUUACAAUCUGAGUAAUAGUACUUUUGAACUGUUUCCAGUCUGUCUGCAGGUCCGCCAGCUCUACACCACCACCCGGUUAGGCAUCUACACAGUUCUGUUUGAGAAGAUGACGAGACAGGAUGAGACUCCGCCCAACUUCCUCAUGAAGGGGUUAUGAGUCUGUUGUUUUUAAAUCCUUUCAAUAUUUGUUUAUGUGUGUAUUGUUGUAAUUUAAUGGCUGAGGCAACUAUAUGUGUAAUUUAAAUAUUUCUUAUAAAAUGCCUUGAUUGGCCACCGGAACCUUCGUAGGAACACCUGCCGAGGUCGCUCUGAUCAGGAUGACCGCUGACGGACGGCUCCAUGGGUCGAUGAGGAAAACGACGGUUGAAAGAGAUGGGACAAAAGGCGAAUUUAGUCUGUCUGCACAUCUGACUGCACAUUUAAUGAUGUGACUAAACUCAACAAAAAGAAGAAGAAACUGUAUUAUGAAGCCAAGAUCAACGAUAUAAAGAACGAUGGAAAAGACAAAUUCAACUCCAUCUUUCAUCUAAUCAGAUUCAUCACAAAACUAUUUGAUGUUGCAAAUUAUUAGGAUUAGGAUCAUUGUAAAAGUGGGCAGGAAAUGCCAUCAACGAACAGUGAGCCAUGGUAUUCAUACAUGACAAAACAAAUACUGAAGGAAAAACAUUGCAAGUUUGAAUUUUGUAAAGUAUAUAUUGAAACACCGACGGUAAGGUUUCAAUACUGGGGGUGCAGGCUACGCCUCUCCUUAUGUCACGAGUCCGACCGAGGGUGUUUCCCCUUCCCGGGCGGGUGGCGCUCUGCGGUCGUCGUCACCGGCCUAUUAGCUGCCACUGAUUGUUUUUCCUCCCCCUCCUUGUAUGUUUAGUGGUAGCACCUGUUCAUGUUUAAUUAGUUUGUCUUUAUUAGACAGCCGGCCCGCCUGGUUGUUGUGCGGGAUUAUUUCUAUGUAACCUUCGGCUCUGUUAUUAGAGGUACGUGUUAGUGCCGAGUCGUGAUUUGUUCUAUUGUACUUUUUGAUUCCCUGUGGUUGGGAACGUAACUUUUUGUGAGCACCCUGUGGUGCGUUGGUGCUAUUAAAAGACGCACAGCAUUGAA